UCGUAACGGCGAAGUGAAGCGGCAACAGCUCCAAAUUUGAAAUCUGGCUUCGGCCCGAGUUGUAAUUUGCAGAGGAAGCUUUAGGCGCGGCACCAACUGAGUCCCCUGGAACGGGGCGCCACAGAGGGUGAGAGCCCCGUAUAGUUGGACGCCUAGCCUGUGUAAAGCUCCUUCGACGAGUCGAGUAGUUUGGGAAUGCUGCUCAAAAUGGGAGGUAAAUUUCUUCUAAAGCUAAAUACCGGCCAGAGACCGAUAGCGCACAAGUAGAGUGAUCGAAAGAUGAAAAGCACUUUGAAAAGAGGGUUAAAUAGCACGUGAAAUUGUUGAAAGGGAAGCGCUUGUGACCAGACUUGCGCCCGGCUGAUCAUCCGGUGUUCUCACCGGUGCACUCUGCCGGGCUCAGGCCAGCAUCGGUUCUCGCGGGGGGAUAAAGGUCCUGGGAACGUAGCUCCUCCGGGAGUGUUAUAGCCCAGGGCGUCAUGCCCUCGCGGGGACCGAGGUUCGCGCAUCU
rnacentral:rRNA from 1 species